rnacentral:rRNA from 1 species
UUGGUGCCUUCGGGAACUGUGAGACAGGUGCUGCAUGGCUGUCGUCAGCUCGUGUUGUGAAAUGUUGGGUUAAGUCCCGCAACGAGCGCAACCCUUAUCCUUUGUUGCCAGCGAUUAGGUCGGGAACUCAAAGGAGACUGCCAGUGAUAAACUGGAGGAAGGUGGGGAUGACGUCAAGUCAUCAUGGCCCUUACGACCAGGGCUACACACGUGCUACAAUGGCGCAUACAAAGAGAAGCGACCUCGCGAGAGCAAGCGGACCUCAUAAAGUGCGUCGUAGUCCGGAUUGGAGUCUGCAACUCGACUCCAUGAAGUCGGAAUCGCUAGUAAUCGUGGAUCAGAAUGCCACGGUGAAUACGUUCCCGGGCCUUGUACACACCGCCCGUCACACCAUGGGAGUGGGUUGCAAAAGAAGUAGGUAGCUUAACCUUCGGGAGGGCGCUUACCACUUUGUGAUUCAUGACUGGGGUGAAGUCGUAACAAGGUAACCGUAGGGGAACCUGCGGUUGGAUCACCUCCUUA